UACGGAGGAUGCAAGCGUUAUCCGGAUUCAUUGGGUUUAAAGGGUGCGUAGGCGGCCUUUUAAGUCAGUGGUGAAAUCCUGCCGCUUAACGGUAGAAUUGCCAUUGAUACUGAAAGGCUUGAGUUCAGUUGAGGUAAGCGGAAUGUGUAGUGUAGCGGUGAAAUGCUUAGAUAUUACACAGAACACCAAUUGCGAAGGCAGCUUACUAAACUGACACUGACGCUGAUGCACGAAAGCGUGGGGAGCGAACAGG
rnacentral:rRNA from 1 species